UUUCAUUUCAUUUUGCUCCCUUGUAGUAAAACCAUAAUAUUGAACUUUUAAAUCAAAUUGUGAAUUGUAGACUGGACAACAAAUGAAGGAGAAGGCGCAAGGAGCUGCUGAUGUCGUCAAGGACAAGACCGGCAUGAACAAAAGCCACU
rnacentral:sRNA from 1 species